rnacentral:snRNA from 1 species
AUUCUUAUUUGGUAAGGGUAGUGUCAUGAUCAUGAAAGUGGUUUUCCCAGGGCCAAGGCUCAUCUAUUGCACUCCAGAUGUGCCGAUCCCCUGAGAUUUCACCAAAUGUGGGAAACUUGAUUGCAUAAUUUAUGGUGGUGAUGAACUGUGUUUGCUCUUUCUCCAG